GAUGAACGCUGGCGGUAUGCUUAACACAUGCAAGUCGAACGGACUCUUCGGAGUUAGUGGCGGACGGGUGAGUAACGCGUGAGAAUCUGGCUUUGGGUUCGGGACAACCACUGGAAACGGUGGCUAAUACCGGAUGUGCCGAGAGGUAAAAGAGAAAUUGCCUGAAGAUGAGCUCGCGUCUGAUUAGCUAGUUGGUGAGGUAAAGGCUCACCAAGGCAGCGAUCAGUAGCUGGUCUGAGAGGAUGACCAGCCACACUGGGACUGAGACACGGCCCAGACUCCUACGGGAGGCAGCAGUGGGGAAGUUUCCGCAAUGGGCGAAAGCCUGACGGAGCAAUACCGCGUGAGGGAAGAAGGCUCUUGGGUUGUAAACCUCUUUUCUUAGGGAAGAACAAAAUGACGGUACCUAAGGAAUCAGCAUCGGCUAACUCCGUG
rnacentral:rRNA from 1 species